rnacentral:rRNA from 1 species
GGUUAAGCGACUAAGCGUACACGGUGGAUGCCCUGGCAGUCAGAGGCGAUGAAGGACGUGCUAAUCUGCGAUAAGCGUCGGUAAGGUGAUAUGAACCGUUAUAACCGGCGAUUUCCGAAUGGGGAAACCCAGUGUGUUUCGACACACUAUCAUUAACUGAAUCCAUAGGUUAAUGAGGCGAACCGGGGGAACUGAAACAUCUAAGUACCCCGAGGAAAAGAAAUCAACCGAGAUUCCCCCAGUAGCGGCGAGCGAACGGGGAGCAGCCCAGAGCCUGAAUCAGUGUGUGUGUUAGUGGAAGCGUCUGGAAAGGCGCGCGAUACAGGGUGACAGCCCCGUACACAAAAAUGCACAUGCUGUGAGCUCGAUGAGUAGGGCGGGACACGUGGUAUCCUGUCUGAAUAUGGGGGGACCAUCCUCCAAGGCUAAAUACUCCUGACUGACCGAUAGUGAACCAGUACCGUGAGGGAAAGGCGAAAAGAACCCCGGCGAGGGGAGUGAAAAAGAACCUGAAACCGUGUACGUACAAGCAGUGGGAGCACGCUUAGGCGUGUGACUGCGUACCUUUUGUAUAAUGGGUCAGCGACUUAUAUUCUGUAGCAAGGUUAACCGAAUAGGGGAGCCGAAGGGAAACCGAGUCUUAACUGGGCGUUAAGUUGCAGGGUAUAGACCCGAAACCCGGUGAUCUAGCCAUGGGCAGGUUGAAGGUUGGGUAACGCUAACUGGAGGACCGAACCGACUAAUGUUGAAAAAUUAGCGGAUGACUUGUGGCUGGGGGUGAAAGGCCAAUCAAACCGGGAGAUAGCUGGUUCUCCCCGAAAGCUAUUUAGGUAGCGCCUCGUGAAUUCAUCUCCGGGGGUAGAGCACUGUUUCGGCAAGGGGGUCAUCCCGACUUACCAACCCGAUGCAAACUGCGAAUACCGGAGAAUGUUAUCACGGGAGACACACGGCGGGUGCUAACGUCCGUCGUGAAGAGGGAAACAACCCAGACCGCCAGCUAAGGUCCCAAAGUCAUGGUUAAGUGGGAAACGAUGUGGGAAGGCCCAGACAGCCAGGAUGUUGGCUUAGAAGCAGCCAUCAUUUAAAGAAAGCGUAAUAGCUCACUGGUCGAGUCGGCCUGCGCGGAAGAUGUAACGGGGCUAAACCAUGCACCGAAGCUGCGGCAGCGACGCUUAUGCGUUGUUGGGUAGGGGAGCGUUCUGUAAGCCUGCGAAGGUGUGCUGUGAGGCAUGCUGGAGGUAUCAGAAGUGCGAAUGCUGACAUAAGUAACGAUAAAGCGGGUGAAAAGCCCGCUCGCCGGAAGACCAAGGGUUCCUGUCCAACGUUAAUCGGGGCAGGGUGAGUCGACCCCUAAGGCGAGGCCGAAAGGCGUAGUCGAUGGGAAACAGGUUAAUAUUCCUGUACUUGGUGUUACUGCGAAGGGGGGACGGAGAAGGCUAUGUUGGCCGGGCGACGGUUGUCCCGGUUUAAGCGUGUAGGCUGGUUUUCCAGGCAAAUCCGGAAAAUCAAGGCUGAGGCGUGAUGACGAGGCACUACGGUGCUGAAGCAACAAAUGCCCUGCUUCCAGGAAAAGCCUCUAAGCAUCAGGUAACAUCAAAUCGUACCCCAAACCGACACAGGUGGUCAGGUAGAGAAUACCAAGGCGCUUGAGAGAACUCGGGUGAAGGAACUAGGCAAAAUGGUGCCGUAACUUCGGGAGAAGGCACGCUGAUAUGUAGGUGAAGUCCCUCGCGGAUGGAGCUGAAAUCAGUCGAAGAUACCAGCUGGCUGCAACUGUUUAUUAAAAACACAGCACUGUGCAAACACGAAAGUGGACGUAUACGGUGUGACGCCUGCCCGGUGCCGGAAGGUUAAUUGAUGGGGUUAGCCGCAAGGCGAAGCUCUUGAUCGAAGCCCCGGUAAACGGCGGCCGUAACUAUAACGGUCCUAAGGUAGCGAAAUUCCUUGUCGGGUAAGUUCCGACCUGCACGAAUGGCGUAAUGAUGGCCAGGCUGUCUCCACCCGAGACUCAGUGAAAUUGAACUCGCUGUGAAGAUGCAGUGUACCCGCGGCAAGACGGAAAGACCCCGUGAACCUUUACUAUAGCUUGACACUGAACAUUGAGCCUUGAUGUGUAGGAUAGGUGGGAGGCUUUGAAGUGUGGACGCCAGUCUGCAUGGAGCCGACCUUGAAAUACCACCCUUUAAUGUUUGAUGUUCUAACGUUGACCCGUAAUCCGGGUUGCGGACAGUGUCUGGUGGGUAGUUUGACUGGGGCGGUCUCCUCCUAAAGAGUAACGGAGGAGCACGAAGGUUGGCUAAUCCUGGUCGGACAUCAGGAGGUUAGUGCAAUGGCAUAAGCCAGCUUGACUGCGAGCGUGACGGCGCGAGCAGGUGCGAAAGCAGGUCAUAGUGAUCCGGUGGUUCUGAAUGGAAGGGCCAUCGCUCAACGGAUAAAAGGUACUCCGGGGAUAACAGGCUGAUACCGCCCAAGAGUUCAUAUCGACGGCGGUGUUUGGCACCUCGAUGUCGGCUCAUCACAUCCUGGGGCUGAAGUAGGUCCCAAGGGUAUGGCUGUUCGCCAUUUAAAGUGGUACGCGAGCUGGGUUUAGAACGUCGUGAGACAGUUCGGUCCCUAUCUGCCGUGGGCGCUGGAGAACUGAGGGGGGCUGCUCCUAGUACGAGAGGACCGGAGUGGACGCAUCACUGGUGUUCGGGUUGUCAUGCCAAUGGCACUGCCCGGUAGCUAAAUGCGGAAGAGAUAAGUGCUGAAAGCAUCUAAGCACGAAACUUGCCCCGAGAUGAGUUCUCCCUGACCCUUUAAGGGUCCUGAAGGAACGUUGAAGACGACGACGUUGAUAGGCCGGGUGUGUAAGCGCAGCGAUGCGUUGAGCUAACCGGUACUAAUGAACCGUGAGGCUUAACCUU